UACGUAGGGGGCAAGCGUUGUCCGGAAUCAUUGGGCGUAAAGGGCUCGUAGGCGGUUUGUCGCGUCGGGAGUGAAAUCAUCUGGCUUAACUGGGUGCUUGCUUUCGAUACGGGCAGACUAGAGGUAUGCAGGGGAGAACGGAAUUCCUGGUGUAGCGGUGAAAUGCGCAGAUAUCAGGAGGAACACCGGUGGCGAAGGCGGUUCUCUGGGCAUGACCUGACGCUGAGGAGCGAAAGCGUGGGGAGCAAACAGG
rnacentral:rRNA from 1 species